rnacentral:rRNA from 1 species
CCUACGUGCGGCAGCAGUGAGGAAUAUUGGUCAAUGGGCGGGAGCCUGAACCAGCCAAGCCGCGUGAAGGAAGAAGGCGCCAAGCGUCGUAAACUUCUUUUGUCGGGGAACAAAGGGCGCCACGUGUGGCGUUGUGAGUGUACCCGAAGAAAAAGCAUCGGCUAAAUCCGUGCCAGCAGCCGCGGUAAUAGGGGGGAUGAGUGCGUUAUCCGGUUGUAUUGGGUUUAAAGGUGGCGUAGUGGGGCCGGGAAGUCAGCGGGAAAAGCCCGGGGUUCAACCCCGGCGGGCCGUUGAGACUGUGUGACUAGAGACUGCGAGAAGUACGCGGAAUGCGCGGUGUAGCGGUGAAAUGCAUAGAUAUUAGGAGGAACACCAGUGGCGAAGGCGGUCUGCUGGACAGCAACUGACGGUGAGGCGCGAAAGCGUGGGGAGCAAACAGGAUUAGAUACCCCAGUAGUC